rnacentral:rRNA from 1 species
AACAGGAUUAGAUACCCUGGUAGUCCACGCUGUAAACGAUGCCGACUUGGAGGUUGUGCCCUUGAGGCGUGGCUUCCGGAGCUAACGCGUUAAGUCGACCGCCUGGGGAGUACGGCCGCAAGGUUAAAACUCAAAUGAAUUGACGGGGGCCCGCACAAGCGGUGGAGCAUGUGGUUUAAUUCGAUGCAACGCGAAGAACCUUACCUACUCUUGACAUCCAGAGAAUUUGCUAGGGAUAGCUUAGUGCCUUCGGGAACUCUGAGACAGGUGCUGCAUGGCCGUCGUCAGCUCGUGUUGUGAAAUGUUGGGUUAAGUCCCGCAACGAGCGCAACCCUUAUCCUUUGUUGCCAGCACGUAAUGGUGGGAACUCAAAGGAGACUGCCGGUGAUAAACCGGAGGAAGGUGGGGAUGACGUCAAGUCAUCAUGGCCCUUACGAGUAGGGCUACACACGUGCUACAAUGGCAUAUACAAAGAGAAGCGAACUCGCGAGAGCAAGCGGACCUCAUAAAGUAUGUCGUAGUCCGGAUUGGAGUCUGCAACUCGACUCCAUGAAGUCGGAAUCGCUAGUAAUCGUAGAUCAGAAUGCUACGGUGAAUACGUUCCCGGGCCUUGUACACACCGCCCGUCACACCAUGGGAGUGGGUUGCAAAAGAAGUAGGUAGCUUAACCUUCGGGAGGGCGCUUACCACUUUGUGAUUCAUGACUGGGGUGAAGUCGUAACAAGGUAACC